ACUCCAGCCUGGGCGACAGAGCGAGACUCCAUCUCAGAAAAAAAAAAAAAAGUAACCAUGAUUCAGUUUAAUAAUUUGGUUUCUUGACAUCUUGGGGUAAGACAAAGUCAGUAAGUUAAAUGGUUUGGGUGAUUAGGGACUGCUGUUAUCCUACUAAUGUUAUAUACUUUGCAUGCUUGCAAAUAUCUUCAUCUUUACAUUUCAGCAAUAUAUUAUACAACAUUUUAGGUGAAAAAUAUUUUUUUCUUUAGAAUGUUGAACCCUGCCAGUGAUGUCUGAGAAUUGCAGAUCUACCACAUCCUCCUCAAUAUUUGGUGUUGUCAACACUUUUUAUUGUAGCCAUUCUAGUGAUAGGAAAGGGAAUCUCUGGUUUUGAUUUGCAUUUCCAUCAUUACUAAUUGUGCUGAGAACUUUUCAUGUGUUAACCAUUGAUAUAUCUUCUUUUGGAUGCUAAUUCUUUUGUCCAUUUGUAAUUGAUCAUUUGUGGUUUGGUUAAUUAUGUGCAAGAGUUCUUUACUUACAUGUGAAGAUUAUAGAUAUAUAAUUUGAGAAUACUUUCUCCCAGUCUAUGUCUUGCCAUUUAUAUUUUUAUGGAGUGUUUUUAAGCUAAUUUUGUUGAGGUAAUGUUUUCCAGUUGAAUUUUAAUUUUGAUGAGGUCCAUGUAUCUAUUUUUAUGUUAAUAUUUUAUGUUAAUUUUAUGUUACUACAUGUCUUUUUAAAGAAAUCUUUGCCAAACGUAGGGUUACUAAAGUGUUUUACAAUGUUUUCUUCUAGAAGUUUUAUAAUUUUUGCUCUCAUAUUUAGGACUAUGAUGCAUUUCAAAUUAAUAUGUGUAUAAGGUGUCAAAUAAGGAUUGAAAUUCAUGUUAUCCAGUUAUUCCAAUAACAUUUGUUGAAACAAUUUUCCUUUCCCCAUUGCAUUUAACUUACAUCUUUGUCAAAAAUUAACUGCCUGUGUAUAUUUGGGUCUGUUUAAUUUAUUUUCUGUCUGUCUUAUCUCAAUAUCAUAUUGUCUGGAUGCUGUAACUAUAAAAGUAACUUGGAAAUCAGGCAUUGUGAAUCAUUCAAGUUUGUUCUUUUUAAAUAUAGUUAUAGCUAUUCUAGGUCUUUUGCUUUUUUAUAACAAUUUUAAAAUUAAUUUAUCAAUUUCUUUAAAAACAUGCCUGUUGGGAUUGUACUGCAUCUAUGGAUUAAUUCAGGAAGAAUCGAUGUGUUAACAUUAUUGAAUCUUCUACUCUUUGAACAUGGCAUUAUUGCAUUUAUAUAGGCCUCCUUUAAUUUCUCUCUGUUUUUUAUUGUAGAGGUCUUUCAUAUCUUUUGUUAAUUUUAUUUUUAAAUAUUUUAUGGUUUUGAUGUUAUAAGUAACAUUGCUUUGGAAAUUUUAUUAUCCAAUUAUGUUUUUCUAAUAAUGUGUAGAAAUAAAAGUGGUUUUUAAAUAUUGAUUUUUAAUUUUAUCACAUUGUGAAGUUCAUAGAUUAGUUCUCCUUAGUAGUUGUGUUGAGGAUUCCUUAGGAUACUCUGUAUUGUCUGUGAAUAGAGGCAAUUUACUUCUUCCUUUUCAUUCUUUAUGCAUAUUAGUUCUUCUUCUUGCCUUAUUGCACCCUCUAGGACAACACUGAUGAAAGCAGGCCAUGCCAAUCCGAUCCUCAAAACCCUUGAAUGAAUCUUUAUAAAACUUAGAAAAUAAUCCAAAGUCCUUGCCUUAGCCCACCAGAUCUGGUCCUAGCUCCCCUUUUCUGUCUGAUACCGCCAGUGGUACGGUCUAGUGAGUCUGGCCUUUCAGAUUCAGAAGGAGCCACACUUCCUGCUGCUGCAGGGACUUUUCUUAGGUUUUUGUCUGUGCCACCAACUCUUGGGCUGCUUGGCACUCCCUCCUCUCUUCUGAGAUGCCCAGAGCUAUUUCUCUGACCACCCUAUCUAAAGCAGAGAGGCUAUAGUUUCUGCAGAACAUGUGUCUCAAUUUGUAAGUAUACAUUUACUUUCUUGUGUAACUGGUACACUGAACCUACAGAAAGCAUCUUGUUUCCACUGUCCCUUUGAUUUGUUAAUUUUUUCUUGCUUCUGGACAAAAAAUUUGACAGAAUCCAUAUCUCUUAAAUGAUAAAAAGGACCUGUGAUGAUCAUGUUAAGGCACAAAACACAGAUUCAACUUGGUACCGUCAGCUCUCCUUACACACAGCCCUCAUGCCUCUCCUUCACCUACCUGCUGUGGCUCCUGACCCUAACAGAAAUGAGGCUGAUGAUUGUGCUGGGAAGGGAGGAAGGAUGAAAGACAAGGCAGCAGUGUAGUCUUCACUGGCUGGUACUGGGAUAAGAGAACUUCAUGGUUUCUGGGCCUGCAAGAGGCUUAAAGCGGACUCUUUCUUGGGCUCUUUAUUUUUUUUAUUUUUUUUAUUUUUCAGGGUCUUCCUCUAGGAACAUUCCCUGAAAAGUCAGGAUUAGGGUGAGGAAAGUGAGGCAGGGAUAUGUAAGUCCAGGGUUGAGAACUGUCUUAAAGAAAUAAUAUUUUGUUCAUCAUAAAUUCUUUGGCAUUAAUUCUGACUUUUUUUGAAAUAGUGCAUUAAAAUUUUACUAUCUUGGUUACUGAAUUUUUGCUUUUUUGUGCUCCUUAAAUUUUGUGCCUGAGGUGAGUAUUUUAUUCACAUCACCUAGUCACAAACUUGCACUUCCUGUGACAUAGGAGAUUCAUUUUUCUUUUGCUAGUCACACAUACUUUAGCUCCUCCUACUUUUUCUGCAGCACAUAAAAUAUACCUUUGGGUUCCUGUCAGCCUUCUAGAUUGUCCUUUAAGGUAGAAUUUAAAACAGCUCCAGGCCAGUUCUCCCACCUUCUGCGUGCAUCUGGUGCACUGCAGUCUCAGUUUCCUUUGCUGGACAAAUUCUGGGAGAACAGACCAAUCCAAAUACAGAAUCAACUCUUCUUUAUUCUGUUAUAGAAACAGCUGGCUGGCCUGUUUCUGCAAUUUGGUUUUCUAGGUUGUAGUUAGACAUCAGCUCAUUGUAUCUGAAGAACUAAGAUAAGGGGCAGCCACACUCAAAUGCUCACUUUUUUUUUUUUUUUGGUCUGGGGGACUCAUUGCAUAACAUCAUUUAAAGGAACCUUCCAACAACGCCAUUUCCAAUCUCCAACACCAUGGUUUUCACUGUGGAUGAAUGGUCUUAAGGGUGAGGAAACUGGCUGAAUCACUUAUGUUUUUAUUAAGAGAUGCUUUAUUCAUUAGUCAUCAGGAAAAUGAAAAUCAAAACAACAAUUACAUACAUUUUAAACUCAUAAGAUUGGCAGAAUUUAAGUCUUGCAAUAUGAAGUGUGGGCACAAAUUAAUAUGACUCUUCUGUGUUGUUGGUGGAAGUAUAAGUUGGUACAAGCAUUUUGGAGAAUGAUUUGGCAAUAUGUAGUAAAUUAGAAGAUGUUCAUACUGUAAU
rnacentral:lncRNA from 10 species